rfam:Salmo salar isolate Sally breed double haploid chromosome ssa14, whole genome shotgun sequence.
UGUACGCAAGCAUGGCUAAGUCGCUUUUGGAUAAAAGCGUCUGCUAAAUGGCUUAUC